UACGUAGGGGGCAAGCGUUGUCCGGAUUUAUUGGGCGUACAGAGCGUGUAGGCGGCCUGACAGGUCUGCUGUGAAAACUCGAGGCUCAACCUCGAGAUGUCGGCGGAAACCGUCUGGCUAGAGUCCGGAAGAGGAGAGUGGAAUUCCUGGUGUAGCGGUGAAAUGCGCAGAUAUCAGGAAGAACACCUAUGGCGAAGGCAGCUCUCUGGGACGGUACUGACGCUGAGACGCGAAAGCGUGGGGAGCGAACAGG
rnacentral:rRNA from 1 species